UCAAAACUGUCACUACAGCUGAUGUUGUCC
rnacentral:piRNA from 1 species